ensembl:lncRNA
CGAAAAUAGCUGCUGUUCACUGAUGUUAUUCUGAUCUCUUAUGGAGAAUUUCAAAAUAUUUUCCACAGAUUUCUCCUAGAAAAACUAAUGAGUUAUGGACUAGGUGCUGAAAGGCUAAAGAGAGUCUAAAGAGGAGCCACUGAGAUGAUCAAAGGACUGGGAGCCUGCUGCAUAAGGAAGGAACUGAGUUUGUUCCAUCUAGAGAAAUCUUAAGGGAGACCUCAUCACUAUACUCCAGUAUUUAUAGGCUUGCUACAAAGUAGACAAUCUCCUUUUAUAGAAAGAACCACAUGGAAAAAGAAAGGAAGUGAUGGGUACAAGUUGCAG